rnacentral:rRNA from 1 species
CCCUACGGGGCGCAGCAGGCGCGAAAACUUUACAAUGCAGGAAACCGUGAUAAGGGAACUCCGAGUGUCCGUAAAUGCGGGCUGUCCGUAUGUUUAAAAAGCAUGCGAAGAAAGGGCCGGGCAAGACCGGUGCCAGCCGCCGCGGUAAUACCGGCGGCUCGAGUGGUGGCCACUAUUACUGGGCUUAAAGCGUUCGUAGCUGGGUUGUUAAGUUUCUUGGGAAAUCUACCGGCUUAACCGAUAGGCGUCCAAGGGAUACUGGCAAUCUAGGGACCGGGAGAGGUGAGGGGUACUUCAGAGGUAGGAGUGAAAUCCUGUAAUCC